rnacentral:lncRNA from 1 species
CCCUGACGUGGCCUGGAGAGGACCCCGCGGAGUUAAGAAACCCAGCCCUUCUUGAUCUUAUUUGCGAGGCGGGAGAGACCCUCAUGUGGGUGCAACACACCAAGCGUCUCUUUGGCAUCUCCUCAUUUGUUCUGGGGGCUGCAAAAUAAUACUAUUAACAAUGACAGUAAUCCUAUAGCUAGCAUGUAUAUAGCACCUAUCUCACGGGGCUGUUUUGGGAAAAAUCAAUUGGCCAAUAAACACUUAUUAAGCCCCUACUGUGUGCCAGGUACCGUGCUAAGCCCGGAGGAUGCCAAAAAAGGCAAAAGUCAGUUCCUGCCCUCGAGGAAUUUACAAUCUAAUGCAGGAGAAAAAAUGCAAACAAAUUAUUUACAAAGCAAGCUAAAUACAAGACUAAUGAGAGAUAAUUAACUGAGGAAAGGCACUAGAAUUAAGAAAGGUGUGGAGAAGGCUUCUUGUAAAAGAUGAAGGAAGGGAGACACCCUUUGGAAUCAGUCAAUGAACAUUCACUAUAGACCUACUGUGUGCCAGCACUGGAAACAAAGAGGAUGACAGAUGUAGAAAUAUAUAUAGAAGACGUGCAUUGUACACAGCAACAACAAAGUUAUGCAACAUUCGGUUCUGAUGGACGUGGCUCUUUUUCAACAAUGAAGUGGUUUAGACCAAUCCCAAUAGAUUUGUGAUGGAGAGAGCCAUUUGCAGCCAGAGAGAGGACUGUGGGCACUGAGUGUGGUUCACAACAUAGUUUUUGUUAUUGUUGUUGUUUGCUUGCUUUUUGUUUUCGUUCUCAUUUUUUUCCUUUUUGAUCUGAUUUUUCUUAAGUAGCAUGAUAAUUGUGGUAAUAUGUAUAGAAGAGCUGCACAUAUUUUAAAAAAAGGAAAAAAGGUUCCUGGAAAGUUCUCCAUGAACUCAAGCAAAGUGAAAUGUACUAUAUACAAAGUAAUAGCAAAGUUCUGGGAUAACCAGCUAUGAAUGACAUUGCUAUUUUCAGUAAUACAAUCAUCCACAACUACUCUGAAGGAUUUAUGAUGAAAAAUCCUAUCCAUAACCAGAGAAGGAAAUGACUAUGUCUGAAUCCAGAUGGAAGCAUUCUCUUUUUCUCUAUCUAUUUUUUUAAAACUUAAUUUUUCUUGAGAGUUUUUAUUUUCAUUAGAGUGGGAGAUAUGUUUUUUAUUUUCCUUCACAACUUGACUUUUAUGGAAAUGCUUUGCAUAACUCCACAAGUGGUUUCUUAAUUGUGGAUAGGGAUAAGGAAGAGAGCCUAAAACUCAAAAAUUUUAAAAACAAAUGUCAAAAAAAUUUUUUUUUCACUUUGAAUGCAACUAGGGAAAAAUAUUCAAUAAAUAAAUUAUACUGAUACUACCUUCAAACUUAAUUGGCUCAGAAGACUAGAGGUUUAGAUCACUGAUGUUAUUUCCAAUCAAGUAAAUACAAAAAGCCAAGAAGACCUGAAGCUUCUCCCUGAGGCUUGACCAAUAGACCACUGUGGACAAAACUUAAGGAGAGCUACAUUUAACUGAGUCAAUAGUGUAUUAUCAUGAAUAUCUUUGUUUUCUUGCUAUGGUUAAGUAAAUCUCCUUUAGUUAAACCAAUCAAAAAAAAAAGUCAAGAAUAUUGAGGGAAUUCAUGAAAAUAAUAGGAAAGAAGGUGGUCUAGCUGUACCAGAUCCCAAACUAUAUUAUCUAAUGGUAAUCAUCAAAAUUAUUUGAUAUGGGCUAACAAAUAGAAUGGUGGGAUCAGUGGGAUAGAUUAGAUACACAAGAUUCAGUUGUAAAUUAACAUAAUCUAGUGUUUGAUAAACCCAAAGAUCCCACAUUUUGAGACAAGAAUUCACUACUUGAGAAAAACUGCUGGAAAAAAUUGGAAAAUAUUAUGACAGAAACUGGGUAUACACCAACAUCUUUACACUAUAUACUAAGAUAAGAUCAAAAUGGGUAUGAUUUAAACAAAAAAGGUGAUGCCAUAAGCAAAUCAGAAGAAGAAAGAAUAAUUUACAUAUCUGAUCUAUGAAGAAGGAAGAAUUUGUGACUAAUCAAGAGACAGCACACAUUGCUAGAUAUAAAAUGGACAGUUUUGAUAUUAAAUUUAAGAGGUUUUGCACAAACAAAACCAAUGCAAUCAAGAUGAAAAGAACAGAAAGCUUAUUUUACAGCGUCUUUGAUAAAGGCCUCAUUUUUCAAUUAUAUAGAGAACCAAAUCACAGUAAGAAUACAAGUCAUUCCUCAAUUGAUACAUAGUCAAGGAAUAUGAACAGGCAAUUUUCAGAUGAAGAAAUAAAAGUUAUCUUUAGUCAAAUGAAAAAUUAUCUGAUAUCACUAGUGAUUAGAUACACAGGGUGGGGAACCUUUUUUUUCUGCUAAGGGCCAUUUGGAUAUAAUAUUAUUCACGGAUCAUAUAAAAUUAUUAAUUUAAAGAACUCAAAUAGUGGUAGGUUGUCCUAUUUAGCUUUCAGCUCAUCAUUUCCUUUAGUUGAUUUUGCAAAUUGAUUUCAUUGGCUUUAUAACGCCCUUUGGCUGGAAGUUCUCCACCCCUGGAUUAGAGAAAUGAAAAUUAAAACUCUGAGGCACUACCUCAUACCUAUCAGAUUGGCUAAUAUGACAGAAAAAGAAAAUAACAAAUUUUGGAGGAGAUGCGGAAAAGUUGGAACAUUAUUAUACUGUGAGUGGCAUCCUGAACUGAUCCAAUCAUUUGUGGAGACCAAUUUGGAACUAUGAUAAAAGGGUUAUAAAACUAUGCAUACCCUUUGAUCCAGCAAUACCACUACUAGGUCUGUAUCCCAAAGAGAUUUUUUUUUUAAGGGAAAAGUAUCCAUUUGUUCAAAAAUAUUUAUAGCUGCUCUUUUUGUAGUGAUAAAGAACUGGAAAUUGAGGGGAUGCCUAUCAAUUAGGGAAUGGCUAAAGAAGUUGUGAUAUGUGACCUUUAUGAAAUAUUAAUAUGCUAUAAGAAAUGAUAAGCAGGCUGAUUUCAGAAAAACCUCAAAGGACAUAUAUGAAUUUAUGUGAAAUGAAAUGAGCAGAAACCAGCGGAACAUUGUCCAUAGGAACAAAAUAAAGUAACAUGAUCAACUCGGAAUGAAAUAGCCAUUUUCAGCACUAUAAAGACAAUUCCAAAGGACUCAUGAUGAAAAAUGCUAUCCAUCUCUAGAGAAAGAAUUAAUAGAAUCUGAAUGCAGAUCUAAGAAUAGUUUUUUUCAUUUUCUGUUAUUUGUUUUUCCCCUUCUUUUAUAAUUGUGUUUUCUUUUACAACAUGGCUAUUAUAUUAAUUUGUUUCUGUAUGAUUGAAUACAUGUAAUCUAAAUCAAAGUGCUUAUCUCAGGAAGGAAGAAAGUGAAGGAGGGAGAGAGAAAAUUUGAAGCUCAAAUUAAAAAAAAGAUUAAUGUUAAAAAUUGUCUUCACAUAUAACUGGGGGAAAGUAAAAUAUUAUUUAAGAAAAAGAAUAAGUCUGAUCAUGUCAUUCCCAUGCUCAAAACCCUUCGAUGGCUCCCCAUUUUAUCUAGGAUAAAAUUAGUCUGUUAUUUCAAAGACCCUUAAUAGUCUGGCUCCUAUUUACCUUUCUAGGCUUAUUUCAAGGGCCACUGUAAACUCAAUGUUCAAGUCCAGUUAAAGUUCUAGAUAGCUCAUAAACAUCCAACUGCACUGUCUUAGCAAUGUUAUGUUCCUUUAGUACAUUUCAAGGCUUUCAGACCAACCUCUUUGUCUGGAACUUACUCCCUCUUCAUGUUCUUUUCUGGGUACUUGUCUUCUUUCAGUUCUUCAUUCAGUUACCUGCAUCUUCUGUGAAACUUCCCUUGAUCCCUUAGUCAUAUGUAUCUCUGAUUUCCUUGUAGUUGUUUAGUUAUAUCCUACUCUUCAUGGCCAUUCUGUACAUGAAGUUUUCUUGGCAGAGGUGCUGGAGUUAUUUGUCAGCACUUACUAAUUCAACUUGCCUAGGGUUACACAACUAGUAAGUGUCUAAAGCCAAAUUUGAACUCAGGCCUUCUGACUCUGGGCCCAGAAUUCUAUCCUUCUUGCUGCCUCCUAAUUUCCUUACAUUGUUCUUACUUGUGUAUGUGGUGAAUCUUUGUUCUCCCAACUCUAAUAGAAUGGUCAGGGACUGUUUAUAUCUGUAUCUGUAGACUGGUAUUUUCCAAUUUAUAAAGGAAAGGGGUUUGCCCAAGGUCUUUAUCUUGGUUCUAUCUUUACUACCAAGUGGUAAAGUAUAGAGUAGGGAUUGGAACCCAAGUUUCUUAAUCCUAUUUUCCAGUGUUUUCCCAUCAUAACAAUAGGUG